ACAUGAGAAGGGAAGGUCUGAGUGUUCCUCUGUAAGUGGGUUGUAUCCACAGAGGUUAAGACUGAGCACUCUUGAAAUGUUUCAUUAUUGCAUCAGCUCAGCUGUCAUGUUGCAACUGAAAUAAUGGCAAAAAGUCAAGAAAAAUUCUCCUCCUCCCCUCCUUGGACUUCUGAGAAUAUAUAUAAGGAUAUAAACAAAGCUACCGUACGCCCAGAAAGACCUGUAAAAGAACUAGCCUCUUCAAGGAGUAUGAAGGCACACAGUUUCUUGUUCUUUUGUGGAGUUCUGAUGCUGUGUGAUAAUCUGACAUCAGCAGCAGUGAUCAAUAAAUUGGUUCAGCCCGAAAGAUGUCUUCCUAGUCCAAUCGUAUGUACCCGGUACGAACCAGAUAACUGUCAGGACGACUCUGACUGCCCGUUAAACCAGAAGUGCUGUUUUGUUCCUUGCGCUUGGAGUUGUGUGGAUGCUGUGUAAUGGGUAAAUUCAUUUCCUGAUGGGCUCCUGAGUUAACCAUGGCUUGACAAACCAAUAACUGACUCCUACUGGCUUGAUGGGAGAUUCAGACAUAUUUCUAAAUAAAUCUUCUUUAUGUAGAAACACUGCAA